AUUGAACGCUGGCGGCAGGCCUAACACAUGCAAGUCGAACGGUAACAGGAAGCAGCUUGCUGCUUUGCUGACGAGUGGCGGACGGGCGAGUAAUGUCUGGGAAACUGCCUGAUGGAGGGGGAUAACUACUGGAAACGGUAGCUAAUACCGCAUAACGUCGCAAGACCAAAGAGGGGGACCUUCGGGCCUCUUGCCAUCGGAUGUGCCCAGAUGGGAUUAGCUAGUAGGUGGGGUAACGGCUCACCUAGGCGACGAUCCCUAGCUGGUCUGAGAGGAUGACCAGCCACACUGGAACUGAGACACGGUCCAGACUCCUACGGGAGGCAGCAGUGGGGAAUAUUGCACAAUGGGCGCAAGCCUGAUGCAGCCAUGCCGCGUGUAUGAAGAAGGCCUUCGGGUUGUAAAGUACUUUCAGCGGGGAGGAAGGGAGUAAAGUUAAUACCUUUGCUCAUUGACGUUACCCGCAGAAGAAGCACCGGCUAACUCCGUG
rnacentral:rRNA from 1 species